rnacentral:snoRNA from 1 species
GCUAUUUUUCAAAUAGAUAUAGGCUUAGAACGUGAUAAUGGAUGGAGAGAUCAACGUUGUACUAAUAAGAACUCGCAUGGAUCUUUUCGAAGAACGGAAAUGUGAGUGUCAGAUAGUACAUAUAUUU